CAGUAGCCGCGGUAAUACGAAGGGGGCUAGCGUUGUUCGGAUUUACUGGGCGUAAAGGGCGCGUAGGCGGGCGAAUAAGUCAGGGGUGAAAUCCCAAGGCUCAACCUUGGAACUGCCUUUGAUACUGUUUGUCUUGAGUUCGAGAGAGGUAAGUGGAACUGCGAGUGUAGAGGUGAAAUUCGUAGAUAUUCGCAAGAACACCAGUGGCGAAGGCGGCUUACUGGCUCGAAACUGACGCUGAGGCGCGAAAGCGUGGGGAGCAAACAGGAUUAGAUACCCCAGUAGUCCCUGUCUCUUAUAA
rnacentral:rRNA from 1 species